rnacentral:rRNA from 1 species
CGUCUAGGCGGAAUAAUAAGUCAGCUGUGAAAUCCCCCGGCUCAACCGGGGAGUUGCAUUUGAUACUAUUAUCCUUGAGUACAAGAGAGGAAAGCGGAAUUCCAGGUGUAGCGGUGAAAUGCGUAGAUAUCUGGAAGAACACCAGUGGCGAAGGCGGCUUUCUGGCUUGUUACUGACGCUGAAGCGCGAAAGUGUGGGGAGCAAACA